rnacentral:rRNA from 1 species
UACGAAGGGGGGCUAGCGUUGCUCGGAAUCACUGGGCGUAAAAGGGUGCGUAGGCGGGUCUUUAAGUCAGGGGUGAAAUCCUGGAGCUCAACUCCAGAACUGCCUUUGAUACUGAGGAUCUUGAGUUCGGGAGAGGUGAGUGGAACUGCGAGUGUAGAGGUGAAAUUCGUAGAUAUUCGCAAGAACACCAGUGGCGAAGGCGGCUCACUGGCCCGAUACUGACGCUGAGGCACGAAAGCAUGGGGAGCGAACAGG